GUGAAUCAUCGAAUUUUUGAACGCAAAUUGCACUUUCUGGUAUUCCGGAAAGUAUGCCUGUUUGAGGGUCAGUUUAAUAAAAAUCGGGGUUGUUGUUGAUUUUCGGGGUGAUGCGGCGGAUUUGAGUUGUUUUACCUUUGGGUAAGGGAGUUAAAAUUUUGCAUGUUUUUCGAAUGUAUUGAUAUUUCUUACUUUCGUUUGAUAUGUCGAUUAUUAUUUUA
rnacentral:misc_RNA from 1 species